CCCGCUGAACUUAAGCAUAUCAAUAAGCGGAGGAAAAGAAACUAACAAGGAUUCCCCUAGUAACUGCGAGUGAAGAGGGAAAAGCUCAAAUUUAAAAUCUGGCUGUUCUAGUUAGCAGUCCGAGUUGUAGUUUAGAGAAGUGCUAUCCGCGUUGGCCUGUGCAUAAGUUUCUUGGAAAAGAACAUCAUAGAGGGUGACAAUCCCGUCUUUGGCACAGAUAACCAAGGCUUUUGUGAUACGCUCUCAACGAGUCGUGUUGUUUGGGAAUGCAGCACUAAAUGGGUGGUAAAUUCCAUCUAAAGCUAAAUAUUGGCGAGAGACCGAUAGCGAACAAGUACCGUGAGGGAAAGAUGAAAAGAACUUUGGAAAGAGAGUUAAACAGUACGUGAAAUUGCUGAAAGGGAAACGCUUGAAGUCAGUCACGUUGACUCGGAAUCAGCUCUGCUUUUGCUGGGUGUACUUUCUUGUCAAUGGGUCAGCAUCAAUUUUGACCAUUGGAUAAAGUUGCUGGGAAUGUAGCAUCCUUUUGGAUGUGUUAUAGCCUGGUGAUGCAUACAGUGGUUGGGAUUGAGGAAUUCAGCACGCCACCAGGCCGGGUUUCGACCACGUUCGUGCUUAGGAUGCUGGCAUAAUGGCUUUAAUUGACCCGUCUUGAAACACGG
rnacentral:rRNA from 1 species